rnacentral:rRNA from 1 species
AUUGAACGCUGGCGGCAUGCCUUACACAUGCAAGUCGAACGGCAGCACGGGAGCAAUCCUGGUGGCGAGUGGCGAACGGGUGAGUAAUACAUCGGAACGUGCCCAGUAGUGGGGGAUAACCCGGCGAAAGCCGGACUAAUACCGCAUACGACCUACGGGUGAAAGCAGGGGAUCGCAAGACCUUGCGCUAUUGGAGCGGCCGAUGUCAGAUUAGCUUGUUGGNGGGGUAAAAGCCUACCAAGGCAACGAUCUGUAGCUGGUCUGAGAGGACGACCAGCCACACUGGGACUGAGACACGGCCCAGACUCCUACGGGAGGCAGCAGUGGGGAAUUUGGACAAUGGGCGCAAGCCUGAUCCAGCCAUGCCGCGUGCGGGAAGAAGGCCU